rnacentral:rRNA from 1 species
GAAGGGGGCUAGCGUUACUCGGAUUGACUGGGCGUAAAGGGCGCGUAGGCGGAUGGUACAGUCAGACGUGAAAUUCCUGGGCUCAACCUGGGGGCUGCGUUUGAUACGUGCUGUCUGGAGUUCGGAAGAGGGUCGUGGAAUUCCCAGUGUAGAGGUGAAAUUCGUAGAUAUUGGGAAGAACACCGGUGGCGAAGGCGGCGACCUGGUCCGAUACUGACGCUGAGGCGCGAAAGCGUGGGGAGCAAACAGGAUUAGAUACCCUGGUAGUCCACGCCGUAAACGAUGUGUGCUGGAUGUUGGGUGACAUAGUCAUUCAGUGUCGUAGCUAACGCGAUAAGCACACCGCCUGGGGAGUACGGCCGCAAUGUUG